rnacentral:rRNA from 1 species
AACGUAGGGCGCAAGCGUUAUCCGGAGUUACUGGGCGUAAAGCGCGGGCAGGCGGUUCUGCCAGUCUGAUGUGAAAUCUCCUCGCUCAACGGGGAGCAGCCAUUGGAAACUACAGAACUGGAGUCUGGCAGAGGUAGGCGGAAUUCCGGGUGGAGUGGUGAAAUGCGUAGAGAUCCGGAGGAACACCAGAGGCGAAGGCGGCCUACUGGGCCAGUACUGACGCUGAGCCGCGAAAGCCAGGGGAGCGAACGGG